rnacentral:misc_RNA from 1 species
CGAAAUUUGAUCUCAUAAUCAUUGAGUUGAAAUAAGCAGGAAUAAAGAAGAGACUAAAAAUUGAAAGGGAAAUUUCCAUGUACAAUAACAGCAAUUGUUAUGAAACAAAGCUGAUGAUAACACAAAGUCAUGAUUUCCCGUCCGAGUCAUCUAAACAAGUAAACAUACAAAAGGAAAACACCACACUACAUGAUUCAUUAUUACAUUUCACUAUUAGUAUUAGUCCCCUUGCUAAAAUCUAAAGUCACCUUUGUGUUUUCCUCUGAACCAGUAGAACUAACGCUCAGAAGAAAGCCCUACUCCCAUAAAACACGCGGGAGCCACUGUUCUUUGAUGACUGCAUUUUCUGAUCAGAAGUUGAACUUCCUGAACUGGUUGGUCCACUAUCAAUGUCCAAAGGAAGCUUCAUCUUUGCCAAUGACUCGGUGAAUUGCUGCAUGCUUUUCAUGUACAUGUCUACUAUAUCCUGCUGGACCACAUUCUGCUCUGGUUCAAUAUUCACAGUAAUAACAGGCUUUACAGUUUUCUCACUUUGCGCUCCACCAGAGGAAUCAGUCUCACCAUCUCCAACAUCUCCACCCUUUUUCUCCUUUCGAGCUGAGUCAUGCUCCUGGUUUGGUGGUUUUGAAGCUGGAGCAUCCGAGGUAUCAGAGCUUGCAGCAACAGAAGGAGAAGAAACCCCAUUUGUUGACACACUGCUAGGAGGAGAAUCAGGCUUAAGAACCUUAUUGGAAUCGACAGUAGCAGCCAAGAAGCUUUCCAUGACAUGAACACCCAUUUCUGAACUAACAUGAUUUUCAACAUCAGAUGUGACCAAACUAUCAGAGCUUUCAGAGUCCACGCUGGUACAUGGAAUCCUAAAAUACUCUGAAACCAUCAUCUGGUUUUCAUUCACAAGUUUUGGAUCUGGGAAUUCAAUCUUAUCAAAUUCACUGGGAACUGAUUCCUGUAUCUCUACAUCCUGUGCAGUUCCAUCUGUAGCCACAGCAGUAGGCAUGGCAGGAAUCGCCAUGACUUCUGGUGAAGCUCCAGUAUAUGAUAGAGAUAACUGAACAAACCCGGCUGGAGAAUGGAAUAAAUCAGUCGAAGAAAGAGAGUAUUCUUUCUCCAACUUCCCAUUCUUGAUUAGAACAUCAGAGAGAGGUACCAAGGCAAAUCCUAGCAACUGAUCCUCAAGAUAAUUCCUCACCCUGCUCAUCAUGAAUAUCUCACAUUUAAGAGAGGAAUCAAUAGUUUUGACAUUGAACCGGAGAUCAUCAUUGAAGACUGGGUUCCUCCCACCACCAUUAAUGAUUUUGGUGGACACCGUAUUUUCAGGAUCACUGGUCAGGCAAAACUUAGCAUAAACAUCUUGCUUGUGGUAAAUGCAUAUGUUAUGGAUAUCCCUAGCCUGAUGUAUGUAGACAUCAAGAAUACCGAUGAAAUCCUCCAGGUUGUCAACCAUGGCUUCCUUCCUCUGGGCCUCAAUUCCCUUGGACAAGCUAUCAGAGGUCUGCACUGCAUAAUGAGAUUUCUGCUUCUCUGGCUCAGCAACAACAGAACUCUUGAAUGGUGAUACGACAGAUUGAGGGGAAUCCAUUAUCACGCCAAUAAAAUGGACCUGCCAAAGAACAAAACAAGAUGUAUUUAAAAAUUUGUCACCUAAAUGAAAAUACUUCAGAGGAAACUGCUACUUUCCCGUCCCAUCUCAAAGACCCCAAGCCCAGAAAUUUGAGCCAAGUUGAUAAAAAUUGUGACCUCCUUAACCCUAGACACUACAUCAAGGAUAAAUUCCCUGAAAAAAAUCCCAAAUUUACACCAUAGAAACUCUUACUUCUCUAGCAAAAACUUUAAGUUUUCAAAUCCUAAAAUGAAGCUCAGUUCUUGAAAAGGUUAUGAAACUAGCUGCUUUAAAACCCAGCACAAAGAACCCAAGUUGCAGAUUUCUGAGCUGAAACAAAUACAAUUCUUAAAAAUCAGAGGCCAAAUUGCAAAAAGAAACCUUUUGCUGUUUAAGCUAACAUCCAAACUGAGAAGCAACCUGAAACCUAGCUUGAGCUAAGUGCAGCACACAAAACCAUGAAAUGAGACAUUUAGCUCCAAGACAAAUCUAAAACCUAUCCUUAAAAUUAAAAGAACCUAACCUGAGAGACAGGAGGCAGAUCCAAAGUCAAACCUGACCUCACCUCGACACAGAGAACCUUUAAAAACCCAAAGAAAUGAGACUUGCACAUGAACUACAAAAACCAGACUCCCAACUCAAAGAACAGCAAGACCCUGAACUGGUGAGUCAUAACCAAACCAACAAACCAACAUCAAGAAAGAGCACAAGUAAUUACAAACUUCUAUGGAACCCGAAGUCCAAACCCUACCAAAACUGAGACUUCCAGUGAACCACUCCCAGGCUCCCCAAACUUAAAGGCGGGCAAAGACCCGUCAAUAGUUAUACCACAAGACCAGAUUCCAAUAAAGCUAUCAACUUUCCUGCACAGAAACCGGAAUCCAAGGAGAGUAAAACAAGGAACGCAAAAAAGCACAGUAACCCAGAUCACGAUACAAAAUUCAGAAACAACACCCCAAACCAAAACUCAUCUAAGCCCUACAACACCCCAUCUUAUGAACAAUUAAACAUCCAGGACAAAGACGAAAGUAGCUAAAAGCCAAAGACGGCACAACAACCCAGGUUAUCCACUCAAGAUUAAAAAUGAAACCACCAAAAUCCUCCUCAAAAGCAUAAAAAAUGAACUCACCAAUUAUUUCAAAGAAAAAAUAAAUUGACGAAAAAACAAAAGAUGGGUAUUGUUUAAACCUGCCUUUACCUCCAAAGUCAAAAUGAUUUGCGUAGAAUCUGUGGUUCUAAUCCAAGAUCUGGCCAAUACCCAAUUCGUGAACCGAGGUUUGUUUUUCGCUUUUUAGCUUUUGCUAUUGAACUUAAAAGCAAGCAAGCUUGAAUAACCGAAAAGCAAGGAAUAAAAUCCAACUUAUCUGGUGAUAACAAUCUAAACAGAUAAGAGUAGUACACUAAUACUUGAGAGGGAGAUAGAGAAAGAGUUGAAGACGAGCGUAUUGAUACCAGUCAGGUAGACUCCGAAUUAGAGUAUAUAUAAUUAUAUAAAUCAAUGAAAAAUGUAAAUGUAUACAGUACACAGAGAUUGAUUAUUAUGUUUUGGGUAUUUUAUAUACAGGAAAAUUACAAAGAAAAAAGGAUGGGUACCCUUUACAGAAGACUGGAGAGACCGCCCCACAAGAAUUUAGUGAGGACGGAACCAAUGAGAAGAGAGAUGGGUGCGUUUUUUGUUGGUGGGGACUUUGAAACGUGGAGCCUGCAAAUCUUUACAUGCUGUUCC